rnacentral:SRP_RNA from 1 species
GCCAGGCAUCGUGGCAUGGGCCUAUAGUCUUAGCUACUCAGGUGGCUGAGACGGGAGGAUCAUUCAAGACCAGGAGUUCUGGGCUGUAGUGUGGUGCGCUGUGCUGAUAGUGUGUUCUCACUAAGUUCGGCAUCAAUAUGGUGACCUCCAGGGAGAAGGGAACCACCAGGUUGACUAAGGAGAGGGUGAGCUGGCUCAGGUCAGAAACAGAACAGGUCAAAACUCCCAUGCUAUGUGUAGUGGGAUUGUGCCUGUGAUAGCCACUGCACUCCAGCCUGGAAAACAUAGCAAGACACCCUCUCU